UUUGCUCAACAAAAUCGUAGAAAUCCCAAGUAUCAAUGGGAUCUUCACUACCCAUGGAAGUCAUAUUAUCCAAACACUUUGGAAUGGUACCUGUAAAGUUGUUCUGAGCAAGGUCUAGGACAUGGAGACCAAUAAGAUUGCACAGGUGAUGGGGAAUGUGACCACUGAAAGAGUUUGUGCGCAAUCGUAGUAUACGCAGUGUCACCUUUGAUCCUAUCCAUGAAGGUAGAUUUCCAUAAAACUUGUUGUCUCCGAGAUCAAGUCUACUCAACCUGGAGCAAUUUUUCAAAGAAGACAGAAUUUUGCCACCAAAGUUAUUGUUGUUCAUCUUCAAGAUAGCAAGACUAUUUGGGAUACCCAUGGAACUCGGAAUAUUACCAGAGAGAUUGUUUCUUGAGACAUCCACAACAUCGAUUUCGGUCCACAAACUCCAUGCUCGAGGGAACUCUCCAGAUAGCUGAUUGUUACUUAGAGAAAUGAUCCACAACGGAAUUUCACAAAUAGAGGGUGGAAUGGUACCACCUAGAUGAUUAUCAGACAAGAUCAACAUUCGUAGAUUUGGCAUUAGUUGUCCAAAAUUUAAGGGAAUAGACUUGGAAAAUCGAUUGCGACUCAAAUCUAAUCUGGACAAGUUUGGAAACUUUGAUUGAAAUGGAAGCUUUCCUUGGAUUUGAUUGUUGGAUAAAUCCAAAUAAUCAACUCGGGAUGAUAUCUUCAACAACCAUUCCUCUGGUAUCCCAGAAAGUCCAGUACCACUAAGGGUGACAGCUGACAAUUUAGUUUGUGAUUGAAGCCAGACGGCAAAUGCAUCACCGACUAGACAAUUCACAAUGGAAAUAUCAUAGAGCUUGAAAGGAGGAAGUUUGUCAUAUGUCACAUUGAAAAUGAGAGGCAUAGGCCUUUCUGUGCCAAUGGCAAAAGUGUCUAAUUUUGUGAGACUUUUGAAAUGGGAUUCUGUUAAGGUGCCUUCCCAAAAAUUUUGAGACAGGUCUAAGACAACUAGCUGGGAAAGCUGUCCCAAAACUUCAGGAAUGGAUCCUUUGAGAAGAUUCGUGGAGAGGAUCAGUUCUCUCAAGGAUGAUAAGUUUCCAAUAGAUUCUGGAAUUGAUCCGAAAAAGGAGUUGCGGUCGAGGUUAAGAUAUUGCAGUUUGUGUAACUUUCCUAUGGAUGCAGGCAAUUCGCUUUCCAGCCAGUUGAAAGACAAAUCUAGUGACUCUAGUCUAGUAUUUGAACAGUCUAUGAGACCAUUGAAGAAAUCUCGUAUACCUUCCUUCUCAAACAAGUUUUCAGCAAGAUUUAAUGUCUCUAGUGUACAAAAGUUCCCAAUGUGUUUGGGAAUUUGACCUUCAAGUUGAUUAACUGAUAGAUCAAGGUGCUUGAGAUUUUUGAAGCUAGCAAGUACAUUGGGAAUGGGACCAACGAAAGAAUUGUCAUGUAGAUCAAGUGUGCGUAGACUUGUCAGAUUAGAAAACCAGCUUGGAAUCGAAGAAUUGAAAGAAUUCUCAGACAUAUCAAGGACUGAAAGGGACGUGAAGUUAAGGGUUGGUAAUGAGAGUGGAAGCUGGUUUGAAUCCAUCCCACAUGCAGAUAAAUGCAACUCCAACAGUGAGGGAAGCAUGUUGACAUAAUGUAACCAACUCACUCCUACACCACCAAUGUUAACUCGUCCGAGAUUGAGGUACUUAAUGGAGGAGAGAUGAGAAAGCCAAUUCAAGUUUUUGGAAGCAAGGGUUACGUCAAUGCUUUCGCUGAGUCGGCUAUUGUCAAGGUCAAGAUAGUUCAAGUUUGAGAGGUUACCAAGAAAAUGGGGAAUCUCUCCCGAAAAUGAAGCAUAAGAGAGAUUGAGAUACCUCAAGCUCGUAAGCUUCCCCAAGAAGUUGGGAAUGUGAAUCCCACGAAAAUCAUUCCAGCUUAGGUCUAAGUAAUAUAAGUGCUUUAAGCUAAGCAAAGAAGGAUUUAUCUUACCACUCAAGCAAGACUGCUGGUAGUCCAUGAAAUCCCACUCAUAAUCAUUAAGGCUGUACGGAUAUGGAUUCCGGAGAUCCAUCUUUACAAUGUGGCCAGUCUGGUUGUUGCAUGAAAGACCAUUCCAUUGACAGCAAUCGCCGCUUGACCAAGAAGAAAGCCUGCCAGAAGGAUCAGUAAGAUGGUGUUUGAAGGUGAGAAGCACUCGUCUCUCUUCGUCAAUGCAUUUCGCACUGCCUGGAAGUUCUUCACCCAAACAAAAUUCACUUGUAAUCAGCAAAUACUGGCACAAUAACAGAAUGAGGAUAUAGUUGCCCAUUGUAGUACAGAUUAAAGAGGAUCUGUUUGUUGCAACUGGGUGACAUUAACUGAGCAUUGAACUGAAUUUUUAUAGGUGAAGCUGAGGAUAUAAUAACAUGUCAUGAUUCAAUCAGGCAUGUUAGAAGCGUAGCAAAGUCCACUCUUUCUCAGGUAUAUGGAGGAGGAAUGGAUUUAAAUACAAGGUAGCUCCCUGGAUUCUUGAAUAAUAUUGAUGUUAAAUACUCUGGGUUGGUUUUUCUAUUCAUCAUAUUCUUCGUUUUAGUCUUCACAUUGAGAUAUACAUAAUGCAAGUAUUAAGGAAUAAGGAUAGUGGCUAGUCAUCAGUCUUGUAUAUAUUUUUUUCUCAAACAUGUGGAAGAUAUAACAAAACUGAUCUGACAAGCAGAAACAGAGAAAGAGAAAGUUGUACUUUCUCAAAUUUAGUGUUUUCGAAAAUUGCUAUGUUUGAUAUUAUAAUUGUGUCAACUUAGUAGCUUUCAGAGCUUGUUGUUAUCCAUUCAGUUUCUGUUUGAUCAAUGUGACAUUGUGUGUGUUUGUUUUUCUUUUCAGAAAAAUCAGACCUUGUCAUUCAAUUAAUCCGGGAUGCAUAUCAACAAAUCCGAGAUCAUCAUCAUUUGCGUUUCUGUUGAUGAUUCCUGAAAAAUCUACAGAUAAUGCUAUUCAGGUUUGGAGAUGAUGAACUAAACGUCUACUCAAAUUUGGUUUGAACAUGAAACUCUAUAACUUUGGUAUAACUUUAUGCAUUGCAAGUUUAAGUAGUCUUAAUUUUACAUGAUGCUUAUAACACAUGUUUUGAACUUGUGCAGAAGUUGCAAGAUGCAAUUUUGGAAACUCAAAAGAAUAUGAAAAUUAAGAUCUUCAGACUGGGAUCGAAAAUGGGUAUGCUUUCUUGAAUAUAGUUUCUGAACUUUACCAUAUAUGCUAUUUCAAUGAUAUGUCAGAUUAGUAGUUCUUUGUGUGUGUUCGAAUCAUCAUGCCUUACUAUUUGUUUUCUUUUUAUCUUAUUUAAUUAUUAUUUUUUAAAUAAUUCUUAUCAUGAAAAUUUGAAUAACAGGUUAUUCAUCUGGGGUAGCUAGAUUUAUAAUAUUACUGCUUACUUUUCCAACUGGAACAAAUUGAACAUUAAUUCAUUUUUAUUCCAAGUUGCCAUGUGAUCAUCUUAUUGAAUCAUGUUACAGCAGAUGGAAUACAGAGAAAAGAAAACAAAUUGACUUUGCACAGUUCAUAUUUAACAAAAGGAGAACACACCAAUUACUAAGUGUUCCAUUUCCACUCAAUGGUGCCCUCGGAGACGAGCUACUUUCACUGCAAUUGCCACUAUUAUAUUUUCUUUGAUGUUGUUGAAGAACUGAAAAUAGGCAUGCCUCAACGAUUUCUUCACAACUAAUGUGCCACAAACACCCCAGAAGCCUAUGAUAAAGCCAAGCGUGACGCUAAUGUAGAGACCGAGCUUUUCAUUGCCAUCUUCAUCAUCAUUGUUUUGGACAGGAAGAUUUCCAGUGCUAGUAGGUUCGUCAUCUCCAGGGCACUUGGUUGAAAGAGGAAAGCCGCACAAUGAUGGGUUGCCCUCAUAAAUGGAUGGAUCGACCAGUGUUCGGAGCUGAUUGCCCGAAGGAAUUCUUCCAGAAAAGUUGUUACAAGACAAGUUCAAAUGAGACAAGUAGUUCAAAGAAGACAAGCUUUGAGGAAUUUCUCCAAAAAGGUGAUUGUGUGAGAGGUCAAGUGUUUCUAGCGAACUCAAGUUUCCAAUGUUUGACGGAAUAUUUCCAUGUAAAUGAUUCCUCGACAAGUUCAAGGUACCCAGUGCAAUGAGACUGGUUAUUUCAUCAGGAAUUUCACCUUCCAAGUUAUUUGAGGAAAGAUCAAUACUUUUCACCAAACCUGCAUUGUAAACACCGUAUUCUAGUUCUCUUCCUUUUGAUAUUAUUGUUGUUUGCUCAGCAUAAUCGUACACAGGCCAACCACUGGGCUCGCUACCCAUGGAAGUGAUAUUAUCCAAACACUUUGGAAUGGUACCUGAAAAGUUGUUCUGAGCAAGGUCCAGGACAUGGAGACCAAUAAGAUUGCACAGGUGAUGGGGAAUGUGACCACUGAAAGAGUUUGUUCGCAAUUGUAGCAUACGCAGUGUCACC
rnacentral:lncRNA from 1 species